CCCUCCUGCCCGCGGGGCUGGCGGCCGGGACAGGUGAGGAGUCGUGCGAGGCACCAGCUCCUCUUGCCACCCCACCGCCCUCCCUGGUUUGGCUUGUGUUUUUUAUUUUUUCUUUUCUGGAGAAGGAGGAAAGUACUGAAAGCGGGUCCGUGAGGUUACUUUAUGCCGAUGUUUCGUGCUGUUAGGCUUACGCGGAGCUCGUUGCCGCAGCAGGCGCUGAGAGGCUUUGAUGCAGGCGCUGCCGCCCGGUCCGAACCAUCUGAAUGAACAUGGUUACUUAAUGCCCCGAGGAGGCAGCGGCAGCUCAGGCAGGAUGUCACAGGGUGAGUAGUCCGUGACAGAUCCAGGGAAACCGCAAACUUCUGUGCAACUGCUAGAGGAUACGGCCGGCUGGACUUCCCGAGGACUUCCCAAGCAAUGCUGCCCUCAAAAAAGCUGAGCACCUCGUACUUUCAGUCUGUUUUUCGAUUUAAAUUAUAGGUAGCCCCUUCACAAGUGCACUCUAGACACAUAAAAGGACAGCAUUUGAGAGCUGUGGGACAGAAACAAGAAUGCAGCUGAACUGAUGGCAGUUUGAAAAAGCAGUUUCCAAGAAGUGGAAAUUCCCCCUUAGAUUUGGGAGGAACCACCCUGAAAUUCUGGGGAAGUGAAGUUGCAGUUCCUGGGAACACAGCUGUCUCAAGAUGGGAAAUGUUCAGCCACAUUUGGAGGUGAUGGGAAUACCCAUACAGUAGUGAGAAUUUCCUGGGCCAAAGCAUACAGAAGAAGAGCCAGAACUACUCUCAGCUGACUUGUCUUUGGCAAAAUGGUAGUAAGAUGUCCCUCCAGACAAGCAGAAGACUGUUCCCAGACCAGGAGCUUUGGGUGUCACGCCUAAGUCAUUAACACCAAGAUUAUGCCUGACCCUGCCAAGAUCGGCCUUCCUGAAAAGUCUCUGCAUCCCCACCAUCACCGGCACAUCAGCCGGCAGCACUGGCUAUUGGUGCCCUCUGGCCCCAGGGGCAUCCUGCAGACCUUCCACCAUGGCACCAAUCCUCACUGCUGUGCCAUGGCAACGUGUUCCUGAAAAGUAUCCCGGUGUGGCAGCUCACCUGCUUACAGCAAAAUCCAAGAGUGUUUGUUUAAAUGCUCUGUUUCCAGUAAAGGAAACUCUACACCUCAGAAGCAGCUUUGUCCCUGACUGGUUAUUUUAAAUUGGGGUUUGUCAGAGGGACCAGGGCAGUGUUUGUUAUAAUUUACCAGUCCCUAAGAAUUGCUUUCAAACUGGAGACCAUUAUUACCUGAGAUUAGAGCUGUGCCCAGUUUUAUUUUUAUACCAUCAUCAGUGCACAUGAUGUUUAAAGACAAAAAGACAGGAAAAGGCAGCAUCUCUUCCCCAGCUAAUAUGUACGGUUUGGUGACUGAAAGAGAUUUAUUGAAAUCAAUGUGCACUUUACCAUCGAUUUCUUUGUGCAGUGAGGCCUCCUUUAAAGCUUGUCAGCUUUUCCUUGCAAAACUGAAAUGAGACUAACCUGAUGUAUCAACAGUGAGUAGUUUGAAGUGAUACUUCUCUUUCUCUCUCUUUCUCUCUCUCCAGGCUUCUGAGACACCACAAAAUAACUUUUAUUUAAAAAUGUAUUUAUCACAUUUACUGAAGGUGUCCCAACUGCCUAAAAAAAUAAAAACUGCAUAAAAAACUCAUUUUAGCAUUGGCAGGGGACUUGACCAGAUGAUCUAACUGGUCAUUUAUUGCUAGCUAUGACUAUAAUUGCAUGCCCACAUUAUGCUGUUUAAAAUUUUAAAUUCAACCCACACCAUAUUUUCAUUCUGAAAGUGAAAGGAAUUUACUUUAGCAUCAUUCUUUGCUCAUGUCAGGAGAGCAAUUUUUCACUGCUGAUAAGAAAAUGUCAUUUUUUUUGUUUAAAAUUGCAAAUUAAAAAGCCAUUUCUAUGUCUCCUGAGCUUUUAUUUAUUGAUUGUCUCAUUAUUUAGUGAAUAAUUUCAAUUAAUUUUAUAAUAAUAACAAUCUGUAGUACAUAUCUAUUGACUUGUACAGAAAAGACUUUAAAUAAACUAUUGUGAAUUA